UCGUGACCGAACUGUUGACUUCAGCAGCGCCCGGAGGUGAGUGACCGUCUGCUUGUGCGCUUUGUUACAAGUGAUGUGCAGAACUGUUUUUCUGUGUCAGCUUUCCUUCGCCUCGUAUCUCCGAGCGGGGCGAGAGCGCCCAGGAGGAAGCGAGGCUGUGCAGGCCGUGGGGCCCCUUAGAAAAGGACCCGGAUGUGGGAGCUCGAGGGGGCCUCUGCGCCUGCGCCCGCCGCUUGGUUGCACUGACGGCCUUUGAGCUCUGAGUCCGCAGAAACCGCGGGCGGCAGGGUCUUGCCAACUUGGCCAGGCUGGGCUUGAAGUUGGGCUCUUCCUGCCUUCUCCCAGAGUGCUGAGAUUGCUGAGAUUACAGGGCUCAACAGUCCCAAGGCCUGGAUGGUUCUCCUAGCAGCUGGACUCCCUGGAAUGGUUGAUUUGUUGGCCCGGUCACCAGAUAUCCUGGGACGGUGAAGAUGAGAGGAUAUGGCUCUAGGGAGCUCUUCCAGUGUUUGCCUAGGGCUGAAAAAGGAAAAUUGCACCAGGCAGUGAAGUCAGCAUGGAAGACUAUUUUUAAGACUACUGCAAUUGAGGGAUUGAAUUCGGGACCUUGUGCUUUCGAGGCAGGUGCUGGAACCACUGAGCUAAAUCCCCGGCCCCCGCCAUGAUGUUUCUGCCUCACCACGGGCUCAGAAGCAAUGAAGCCAGGUGACCAUGGACUGAAACCUCUGAAACCAUGAGCCAAAAUAAAUCUUUCCCCCUUUGCAUUGUUAUUUUCAAGUGUUUUGUCACCUGACUAACACGGGGAUCACAAGUGAGGGGAUUCUUGCUUACCUUGCUCAGCAGCCUGACAAACCAAUAAGGAGGUCUGGCUCAGAAGACUCAAGUAAAAUCUGGCUGAAGAGGGAGGGAGUCCUUGUCAGCCCCUGCCUCAUUCUACAUGCAAGACGCUGGGACUGUGUCUGUUUGCUCCUGGGAUCCCUGGCCUCCUGGACUGUGAGCUUAGGCCAGUGAUAUCUCUUUAUUUUGCAUAGUGCUGACUGUAGGUGAGUCCUUAAAGGCUGCUCACUCCCUAACACUUUGGGAGACAAAAUUGCAUUGUAGUUAAGAGCACAGGCUGGGCCGGGGAUUUAGCUUAGUGGUUCCGCAGCCUGCCUCGCAAGUACAAGGUCCCGAGUUCGAUCCCUGGUACCAAAAAAAAAGAGCACAGGCUUAGGAGCCAGGCCUCAUGGCACAGGCCUGGAAUCCCAGCACUCUGAGAAGCUGAGGCAGGAGGAUCAUGAGUUUGAGCCCAACCUGGGCGACUCCAGUGACUUACUGAGACCCUGUCUCAAAACCAUUGGAAGAUGAGAGUUCUACAGAAUAAAAUAAAUAGGCCUUGGAAUCAGAACCCAUUGGUUCUGCUUGUUAACUGAAUAACUUUGGGCAGGACACUUGAAGACACCUUCUUCCUAGAGUGGUUAACUUUUAGUGUAAUUAUCGCGGUUCACUAAAUGAGAGCUACCAUGAGUAUCAGCAUCAUUGCUCCUCCUGAAGCCACCCCAACAUCCCCUGUAUUACAGCUAGUGAGUAUAAGAGUUUCCUUAGGCUUGUGGGUUGGGAAACAUCUCAGAGGUACUAGCCACCAUAGCACAGCCUUGUUUCUUUCCAUAGAAGCACACUAGCUAGAGCUUCUUUAAUUCACUGCACUAACUAUAAGG
rnacentral:lncRNA from 1 species